rnacentral:lncRNA from 1 species
UUGUGUGAGCAGGCCCAUUUUCACAGCUUGUGUGAGCAUUCUGAUUCACAGCUCAUGUGAGCAUUCUAAUUCACCGCUUGUGUGAGCAUACAUGUACAUGAUUUGACGGAUUACAGUUAUAUGAGUUAGCACACUAUGUGUGAGCUAUCCCAGGUAUCCUAUGGUAUUCUAAAUGGUUCAAUGGGCAUCAUAUUGAUACGAAUUAGUAAGAGUUCAAUACGAACUAAGAUAGG